GACGAACGCUGGCGGCGUGCUUAACACAUGCAAGUCGAACGGAAAGGCCUCUUUCGGGGGGUACUCGAGUGGCGAACGGGUGAGUAACACGUGAGUAACCUGCCCUUGACUUUGGGAUAACUUCAGGAAACUGGGGCUAAUACCGGAUAGGAGCUCCUGCUGCAUGGUGGGGGUUGGAAAGUUUCGGCGGUUGGGGAUGGACUCGCGGCUUAUCAGCUUGUUGGUGGGGUAGUGGCUUACCAAGGCUUUGACGGGUAGACGGCCUGAGAGGGUGACCGGCCACAUUGGGACUGAGAUGCGGCCCAGACUCCUACGGGAGGCAGCAGUGGGGAAUCUUGCACAAUGGGUGGAAGCCUGAUGCAGCAACGCCGUGUGCGGGAUGACGGCCUUCGGGUUGUAAACCGCUUUCGCUCACGACGAAGCUUUGUGUGACGGUAGUGGGUAAAGAAGCACCGGCUAACUACGUG
rnacentral:rRNA from 1 species